UGAUACUUUGAAAUUUUCUUUUCUUCACUAUGACAAAAUCUCACAUUAUAGAGGACAACCAUUCAACACAAUCCAGAAAAAUCUUCCAGUCGUACUGAAAUCGAUCAGUCUAAGUCUUUCUCCUCCCUGAGCUGAACCCUGGCAGUUUCUAGGUGAUAGUGCAAAUGCUAGUCACCAUGAAUGGAGCUGCUUCCAUUAAAAGAGGGUUUGAUGUAGGAGACUUGGCAUAUAGUCUCAGCUUGGUCACAGAGACUUUGGGCAGGUCACUUAACUCAUCAAUUGUUUUCCAUUCUGUAGUCACUAAUUGAAUGUUACUAAUUUGCUCAUGACUCUUUUAGUUGUAAGGGAAGAACAUUAAAUUCCAAAUGUUAUGAGCAGGAAAAGGAAUCUAUAAUCUCAAGUAGCUAAACAGCUCGGGGGAAGCUUUAGGCUCAACUAGAUCCCAGGAUCAUACAAAUGUGAUAGGACUUUGGUUUUUCCUCACUAUUUUCCCUGUGUUGACUCCAUUCUCAGGCCGGGUAUACCUUUUUGGUGGCAACAUGAUUACCAGUAUCUCUGGGUUUAUAGCCUGCCUUCUCAGCUUGAUGUCCAGUGGGAAAAUGACUCCUGUUGCCUAGGUGUUCUGGUGAAUGUCUUGGGUUUGAAUUGAAUUGUAACAACUUGGGUUAUGUGCUCAUCCCUGAGCCAGUCACAGCAAGCAAAGGAGUGUGGCACUCUGACCAGCCUUAGGCCACAGGCCCAGCUCUGGGAUCAAAGCUGCCCAAACCACAUGUAAUGAGAGAGAAGGAGGGAUGGCAUCCUAAGGAAAAUCAGGGCAUUGAUACCAUGAAUUGAAGGAAAGAUGCUGAGCAGAGAGGCUGGUGACACGCUGCAGCUGGGAGGUAGAUGCCUGAGCUCCGCAGUGGUCCUGCGUCUCCUGGGUCCCGCGGAGGCUACUGCAGAUGUGGGGUGAACUCUCCGACUACACGAUCCUUUGUAUCUACUCUCUCUAUAGAAGGACAGAAUCAUGGGUUGCAGACUUCAUCAGUCCAUGCAGAUUGGUUCAUGUUUGUCUGAAGUGACCAGAGCUCAAAGAAACCAGUGCAGGAAUCAGAAACCAUCUGACUCCACCAUGGCUCAGUUCUCCCUAGCGUGGAUCUUGCACUGUUAUGGCAAAGGCUCAAAGGACCCAGAUCACCUGACUGUCUCUCCUCAUGGUCACUCCGUAGCUGUGGUAGGAGCUCCAUGGUCUACCUGGACCCCAAGAUUCCCAGCAUCCCAAAUAGGGUUUGGUUUGGUUUUGUCUUGGUCACCAUGCAUCCUGGUCCCAAACAGAGCCUAUCCUACCUGCUGCAAGAUGUCUGGUAAUGUGGUGGCCUCCUCAGCCUGAAGCCUGUUCACAAGAUGGUCACAAGUGCAGGCUCUGCCUGACCUCCCCAAGGGCUGGGCCCCUAAUUGGAUUUACUGCCCAAAGGAGAAAGAAUAACCUCUCUUUCAUAACCCCGUCAAAGGCUAUACAUCCUGAGAAGCCAAGACAACUUUGUUCUUUCAUCAGAUAUUCACUACAUGCUGGCUAAGUGCCAGGCACUAUGCAAAGGCUGGAGAUUCAAAUAUGAAGCCCGUUACUGUCUAGUGGGGGAGAAUAUAGAGCUCGGGUGUGUCAUGCACUAUCUGUUAGAUUACGUACUGUGGGAGUCCUGAAGUGGGGAAACAAGGUGUGCCUGGAAAGGAGUUGGGAGCCGCCUGCACAGAUGAGAAGGAAAGUAUGAUAUAGAGAAACGAAAUGACUUAGCAAAGGUCACAUCAGAAAGUGGCAGAACUAGAAUGUGAGCUGAAGUCUUCUAUCCCUAUGCCCUGCAUCUGUCAAACGCACCAGGACCCGGGCUCUUUUAUUCAGGGCAAGAAAUGCCCACAAGAUGCUCCUGAACACCAAGAUGGCACCCAAUGUCAAAAUGCCAAUGGGUCAAAUGGAUGAGACUGGAAACAGCAAGACGCAAGGUCUUGCAAAUGACAGACUUCUCUAGAACUAGAGGGCAGAGUCAGUGGUGCUCACAGAGCAUGGGUGGCAGAGCCCAGGGCUGUAGGCCUCCCUGGCCCAUGCACAGGCCGUGCUCAGAUGGCUGAAGCACUGGCUGGGACAUGGUCAUGCUUGCUGCCUUCCCUGUUCCCACUAGGCUCAGGCAGGACUUCUGUCUCCUCUGGGGCACCGCAAGUUCUCCAGGAAGAGUGAGAAGAAAUUUUCUCUGUCUUUCCAGAACUAAAACAACUAUAGUUGUUUCGGUGAUGAUGAUAUUUUGAGACUCACAGAAGUAAAUCAUUUCCCUCAAAUUGUGUGCUUAGUGAGUGGCAGAGCUACAUUUGGAUCCCAGUCUGUGUAACUCCAAGUUGGCGAGGAAGACCAUGGUGAACAGAUCCCUCCACCAGCUCUGCUCUACACCACCCUCUCCCAUUCACAGGAAGGAAUUCUGAGGCCAAAAGACUCAUUGCAAAGAAGAAAACUUGCCUGAGGUUGAUCUCUGGAGACUCUGAAGGACUUCCUGAAAUUCAUCUCUGUCAUGGUCAUUCUGCAAUGUGAUCAACCCUCUAUGACAUACUGAAACAUUGCUGGGAAAAUUGGUUGACUGAUAUUAAACUCUUCAGUGUACAUGAAAGGCGGCAAUUUUUAAAAAGUCAUUAGGAAAAAUAAUGAAUAUUCUUGAAAAAAUUUAAAUAGUACAAAAGGGUGUACAAUAAGAUCUCUCCCGAUCUAGACCCCUAUGUUCUGAUCCAGAGAAGCAUUUUCUUGCAUAUUAUUUUGGAAGCAUUGAUUUUCUGUGCAUUCAUUUAGAAUAAAUAUUUCCAUGUAUACACAUGCAUAUACAUAAAUACUCUUUUAUUUACAUAAGUGAAACUAUACCACGUGCAUGAGUAUGUAUCUUGCUUUCGUUCACUCCAAAACAAUAUAUUUUGGAGGUCUCCAUAUAUCAGCAGACACAGACCCCCCUUUAUCGUUGCUAGUGGCUGCUGUAGUGAUUUAAGCAGACUAUGUUCGGAAUGAUGCCACAUUUAAAUGCUUAGCUGCAUUCCCUGAUGCUGUCUAGCUUCUUGGUAGGAGCUAACCCUAGACAGAAGAUAAGAUGCUGUGUAUAGGGGCACAGAAAGUUAUAUUAAUAUUCACAAAAUGUUUUGGUUUCUUCCCUGUAGUUCCCCUCCCUGGGGAAGGAGUUUAUAUUCCUGGCUUGUUGAAGUAAUGCAUGGUCAUGUGACUUGCUCUGGUCAAUGUGGGAGAUAUAUCAUUUUCAAUGCAGAAGUUUUAAGGGCCAUCUCAUCAUCUGCCAUACCUCUUUGCCUCUGCUGUAAAACUGUUUAUGUCCCAGAUGGGCACUAUUCUUUUAGCUGAGUAAUAAAAUGAAGAUGAUAUGGAAUAGA